GUAAAUAUUAGAUUUUACUGGUAAUGAUUAGUCAAAUGUUGAGAAUUAGCUCUAUUUUGUGCUUAUAUUGUGCGAGGAUGAGCGUUGGCGCAAUGGUAGAGUUGCAAUAUUAGAUUUUUAUUCGUAAAUGGUUAGUCGAUAGUUGAGAAUGUGUAGGUUUAAAGUACUAAUGGGUUGGGUUUAUCUUGUUUUCUGGUAAAGAUUAAAUUUUUUAUUGGUAACGUCGAGUAGUAACUUGUGGCGAGUGUCUUCUAGUUAUAGGUUUCAAGCUGGUCAUAGGUAAUAAUUUGUUGGGUUCAACUUGUUUUUUGGGUAAAGACUAGAUGGUAAUGAUUAGUCAAUUGUUGAGAAUUAGCUCUAGUAUGUGCUUUUAUGGGGCGAGAGUGAUUAUCUGCGCAAUGGUAGAUUGCUCUUCCGUGACCUACA
rnacentral:misc_RNA from 1 species